GAUUUCUGGCGAACCGGCUCAACCCGAUUACGUAUAUGAUUGAGUGCUGCGUCGUGUUGGUCAUCCUUCCGGAAAGCUGCGUCUACCAUUCAGUUGGCCGGACGUACGUGAUCCGGAUCUAUUACUUUGAAAAAAUUAGAGUGUUUAAAGCAGGCUUACGCUAUGAAUACAUUAGCAUGGAAUAAUAAUUUAGGACUUCGGUUCUAUUUUGUUGGUUUCUAGGACUGAAGUAAUGAUUGAUAGGGAUAGUUGGGGGUGCUAGUAUUCCGCGGCCAGAGGUGAAAUUCUUGGAUUCGUGGAAGGCUAACUACUGCGAAAGCAUU
rnacentral:rRNA from 1 species